rnacentral:rRNA from 1 species
UACGGGGGGGGCAAGCGUUGUUCGGAAUUACUGGGCGUAAAGGGCUCGUAGGUUGCCAACUAAGUCAGACGUGAAAUCCCUCGGCUUAACCGGGGAACUGCGUCUGAUACUGGAUGGCUUGAGUUUGGGAGAGGGAUGCGGAAUUCCAGGUGUAGCGGUGAAAUGCGUAGAUAUCUGGAGGAACACCGGUGGCGAAAGCGCUCUGCUAGGCCGCAACUGACACUGAGGGACGAAAGCUAGGGGAGCGAAUGGG